rnacentral:tRNA from 1 species
GUGGUUGUGGCUCAGUGUAGAGCGCAUGCCUAGCAUGUGUAAGAUACUGGGUUUGAUUCUCAGCACCACA